GGGCCCGACCCUCCACCCUUUGUCUACCUUACCUUCGUUGCUUUGGCGGGCCGGCUGGGAAUGACCCACCGCCGGCGUCAGCCGGUGAGCGCCCGCCGGAGGCCACCAAAACUCCGUCUGUCGGUGCUGUCUGAGUACCCCACGAUCGUUAAAAACUUUCAACAACGGAUCUCUUGGUUCUGGCAUCGAUGAAGAACGCAGCGAAAUGCGAUAAGUAAUGUGAAUUGCAGAAUUCAGUGAAUCAUCGAAUCUUUGAACGCACAUUGCGCCCCCUGGUAUUCCGGGGGGCAUGCCUGUUCGAGCGUCAUUACAACCCUCAAGCUCUGCUUGGUAUUGGGCUUUCACCCCUCCCCCGGGGGGGCGUGCCUGAAAGUGAGUGGCGGUGCAGCCUGACUUCAAGCGUAGUAACUUCAAAACCCGCUUCGGAAGCCUUUCAGGUUGGGCCGGCCAGACAGCCCAACAUUUUUUCUAUGGUUGACCUCGGAUCAGGUAGGGAUACCCGCUGAACUUAAGCAUAUCUGAGGGCCGGUGCGUUACUUUCGAGGAAAGGCGAGUUCCGAUUUGGUAGGUGACCUUUGCCGGUUGCAUGCCUUCGUUGCCCGCUGUGCUCCCAAACGCGUUGUGCAGGACGCCUUUUGGCUUUCGACCUGAGGUCAGGCAAGAACACCC
rnacentral:rRNA from 1 species